rnacentral:rRNA from 1 species
UACGGAGGGGACUAGCGUUGUUCGGAAUUACUGGGCGUAAAGCGCGCGUAGGCGGACCUGCAAGUCGGGGGUGAAAGCCCGAGGCUCAACCUCGGAACUGCCUUCGAUACUGCGGGUCUCGAGUCCGGGAGAGGUGAGUGGAAUUCCUAGUGUAGAGGUGAAAUUCGUAGAUAUUAGGAAGAACACCAGUGGCGAAGGCGGCUCACUGGCCCGGUACUGACGCGUGAGGCGACGAAAGCGUGGGGAGCAAACAGG